rnacentral:rRNA from 1 species
GACAGCAGCCGCCGCGGUAAUACGGAGGGUGCAAGCGUUAAUCGGAAUUACUGGGCGUAAAGCGCACGCAGGCGGUCUGACAAGUCAGAUGUGAAAUCCCCGGGCUUAACCUGGGAACUGCAUUUGAAACUGUCAGGCUGGAGUCUUGUAGAGGGGGGUAGAAUUCCAGGUGUAGCGGUGAAAUGCGUAGAGAUCUGGAGGAAUACCGGUGGCGAAGGCGGCCCCCUGGACAAAGACUGACGCUCAGGUGCGAAAGCGUGGGGAGCAAACAGGAUUAGAUACCCCAGUAGUCCCUGUCUCUUAUAC